rnacentral:rRNA from 1 species
UACGGGGGGGGGCAAGCGUUGUUCGGAAUUACUGGGCGUAAAGGGCUCGUAGGCGGCCAACUAAGUCAGACGUGAAAUCCCUCGGCUUAACCGGGGAACUGCGUCUGAUACUGGAUGGCUUGAGAUUGGGAGAGGGAUGCGGAAUUCCAGGUGUAGCGGUGAAAUGCGUAGAUAUCUGGAGGAACACCGGUGGCGAAGGCGGCAUCCUGGACCAACACUGACGCUGAGGAGC